UACGUAGGGGGCAAGCGUUGGUCCGGAAUCAUUGGGCGUAAAGAGCGUGUAGGCGGCCUGGUAAGUCCGCUGUGAAAGUCCAGGGCUCAACCCUGGAAUGCCGGUGGAAACUGUCAGGCUCGAGUCCGGAAGAGGCGAGUGGAAUUCCUGGUGUAGCGGUGAAAUGCGCAGAUAUCAGGAGGAACACCAAUGGCGAAGGCAGCUCGCUGGGACGGUACUGACGCUGAGACGCGAAAGCGUGGGGAGCAAACAGG
rnacentral:rRNA from 1 species